UCUACAUAUCGAGAAGCUUCAUCCUCCGCUCUUUUCUCCUCGUUCUCCUUCCUUUCUCCACCGUCUUCAACGUCGCCGGCGUGGUUGUGAGUAAGCCUGUCGUUUGCCGUCGCUAGGAGGUCCAGAUCGCUGUUCUCCCCCCUCCCCUGCUUCGUAUUGCCUUCUGCUUAGUCUCCUUAGCUGCUGUUUAGUUCGUCUGUCGUCAGAAAUUAUGGCAGCCGAAGUCCUUCUCUUCCUUUUCCAACUGUCUCCGGCGAAGGAGGGUGCUUAUCGUCACCUUGCAACGUUCAGGUCCACCUCUGUUCUUCUCAUCUUCGUCUGUCUUCGCCACUCGCGUGGGUGGGUGUGAAAGCUGAAUCCUGGCACUGGGUUGCUCCUCAUUACACAGAGAAGCCAUUGCCAUUGUCCUCCAUGGAGUGACUUGAACUUGAGAAUACCGGAUCAAGCAAUGGCGGACACAAGACCGUACAUUAUUGGGGGAACAAAGAAGUACAAUGUUGAAGCUUAAGGGCCAAAAUGUUAAAGUAAGUGGAAAAAAAAUAACAAGUGAAGCUUAUGACA